rnacentral:rRNA from 1 species
GUGUAAGUUAUUAAGGGCACACGGUGGAUGCCUUGGCAUUAAGAGCCGAUGAAGGACGUGUGAAUCUGCGAUAAGCCUCGGGGAGCCGAUAACUGGGCGUUGAUUCGAGGAUUUCCGAAUGGGGAAACCUGGCUCAUCUUCAUGGUGAGUUACCGCCAGCUGAAUGUAUAGGCUGGUUGGGGGGAACGCGGGGAAGUGAAACAUCUCAGUACCCGCAGGAAGAGAAAAUAAAGUAAUGAUUCUGUGAGUAGUGGCGAGCGAAAGCGGAAGAGACUAAACCUGUGGUGUGUGAUAGCGGUUAGGCGUUGCAUCAUGGGGGUUGUGGGAGUCACAGUGGCGGUUCUAACUGGCUGCCGGCAUGAUGUUCAGGAUGGUAGGUGAACGACUUGGAAUGGUCGGCCGUAGAGGGUGAGAGUCCCGUAAUCGAAAUUGUUCUGUCCGUGGUGUGGCCACCCGAGUAGCACGGGGCUCGUGGAAUCUCGUGUGAAUCUGCCAGGACCACCUGGUAAGUCUAAAUACUUCUUAGUGACCGAUAGUGAAUCAGUACCGUGAGGGAAUGGUGAAAAGUACCCCGGGAGGGGAGUGAAAUAGUACCUGAAACCGUGUGCUUACAAGCCGUUGGAGCCUUUUGGGGUGACAGCGUGCCUUUUGAAGAAUGAGCCUGCGAGUUAGUGUUAUGUCGCGAGGUUAACCCGUGUGGGGUAUCCGUAGCGAAAGCGAGUCUGAAUAGGGCGUUUGAGUGGCAUGACCUAGACCCGAAGCGGAGUGAUCUAUCCAUGGCCAGGUUGAAGCGACGGUAAGACGUCGUGGAGGACCGAACCCACUUCAGUUGAAAAUGGAGGGGAUGAGCUGUGGAUAGGGGUGAAAGGCCAAUCAAACUCUGUGAUAGCUGGUUCUCCCCGAAAUGCAUUUAGGUGCAGCGUUACGUGUUUCUUGCCGGAGGUAGAGCUACUGGAUGGCCGAUGGGCCUUCACGGGUUACUGACGUCAGCUAAACUCCGAAUGCCGGUAAGUGAGAGCGUAGCAGUGAGACAGUGGGGGAUAAGCUUCAUUGUCGAGAGGGAAACAGCCCAGACCACCAACUAAGGCCCCUAAGCGUGUGCUAAGUGGGAAAGGAUGUGGAGUUGCUUAGACAACCAGGAGGUUGGCUUAGAAGCAGCCACCCUUGAAAGAGUGCGUAACAGCUCACUGGUCAAGUGAUUCUGCGCCGAUAAUGUAGCGGGGCUCAAGUACACCGCCGAAGUUGUGGCAAUGAUCUUUUUGGAUUGUUGGGUAGGGGAGCGUCGUGUGGCCGUUGAAGCUGCGGUGUAAACCAGUGGUGGAGGCUAUGCGAGUGAGAAUGCAGGCAUGAGUAGCGAAAGAUGAGUGAGAAACUCAUCCGCCGGAUGAUCAAGGGUUCCAGGGUCAAGUUAAUCUGCCCUGGGUUAGUCGGGGCCUAAGGCGAGGCCGACAGGCGUAGUCGAUGGAUAACGGGUUGAUAUUCCCGUACCGGUGAAGAACCGCCCAUACUGAUAUUGUGAUGCUAACCAUGCGAAGCAUGAUGUGCAGGCUUUUGUUUGUGUGUUGUGUGGGUUGUGGGGCCCGAUCUUUGGAGGUAAACGUGUUAACAGGUGUGACGCAGGAAGGUAGCCAAGCCACGCGAUGGUUGUCGUGGUCUAAGCGUGUAGGGUUGUCGGUUGUUAAAUGCGCCGGCUGUGUGCCUGAGACGUGAUGGGACCCUGUUUUUGGGGGAUUUGGUGAUCCUAUGCUGCCGAGAAAAGCAUCGGCGUGAGGUUUUAGCCGCCCGUACCCUAAACCGACACAGGUGAUCAGGUAGAGAAUACUAAGGCGAUCGAGAGAAUCAUGGUUAAGGAACUCGGCAAAAUGCCCCCGUAACUUCGGGAGAAGGGGGACCUUGAGCGUGAUGGGCACUUGCUGCCUGGAGCGUGUAUGGGUCGCAGAGACCAGGGGGAAGCGACUGUUUAUCAAAAACACAGGUCCGUGCGAAGUCGUAAGACGAUGUAUACGGACUGACUCCUGCCCGGUGCUGGAAGGUUAAGAGGAUUGGUUAGCCUUUGUGGCGAAGCUGAGAAUUUAAGCCCCAGUAAACGGCGGUGGUAACUAUAACCAUCCUAAGGUAGCGAAAUUCCUUGUCGGGUAAGUUCCGACCUGCACGAAU